CACUGGAGUCUGUUGCUGGGGGUCAGGCAGCCAUCUUUAGCAGCAGCAUGGGCUGCUACAUUACGGCGGGGGCGGGGCUUAUCGGCGGGAGGCGGGGCUCCGUUUGGGGGCGUGGCCUGUGCCGGGGAGCCAAUCAGUGCUCCCUCCGGCCACAGACAGCCCCCAGCCCCUCUCUCCUGCAUUCCCCCGGGCUGUGACAGACUGUUGCAGUCCGAGGGAAGCCCAUGGCCAGCAAGGUGCCGGCAUUUGGGGGGGCCCAAGGGGGGGCACAGCAUGAUGUAGGGGGGGCCAUGGCCCCCUCUGGCCCCCCCCUAGCGACGCCACUG